rnacentral:rRNA from 1 species
UUCAACCUGAGAGUUUGAUCCUGGCUCAGAACGAACGCUGGCGGCAGGCUUAACACAUGCAAGUCGAACGCCCCGCAAGGGGAGUGGCAGACGGGUGAGUAACGCGUGGGAACGUACCUUUCGGUUCGGAAUAACCCAGGGAAACUUGGGCUAAUACCGGAUACGCCGGAAACGGGAAAGAUUUAUCGCCGAAGGAUCGGCCCGCGUCGGAUUAGCUAGUUGGUGGGGUAACGGCCCACCAAGGCGACGAUCCGUAGCUGGUCUGAGAGGAUGAUCAGCCACACUGGGACUGAGACACGGCCCAGACUCCUACGGGAGGCAGCAGUGGGGAAUAUUGGACAAUGGGCGCAAGCCUGAUCCAGCCAUGCCGCGUGAGUGAAGAAGGCCUUAGGGUUGUAAAUCUCUUUCGGCGGGGAAGAUAAUGACGGUACCCGCAGAAGAAGCCCCGGCUAACUCCGUGCCAGCAGCCGCGGUAAUACG